rnacentral:rRNA from 1 species
GACGAACGCUGGCGGCGUGCUUAACACAUGCAAGUCGAGCGGUAAGGCCCUUUCGGGGGUACACGAGCGGCGAACGGGUGAGUAACACGUGGGUGACCUGCCCUCAGCUCUGGGAUAAGCCCGGGAAACUGGGUCUAAUACCGGAUAUGACUCCAUGACGCAUGUUGUGGGGUGGAAAGCCUUGUGCGGCUGAGGAUGGGCCCGCGGCCUAUCAGCUUGUUGGUGGGGUGAUGGCCACCAAGGCGACGACGGGUAGCCGGCCUGAGAGGGCGACCGGCCACACUGGGACUGAGACACGGCCCAGACUCCUACGGGAGGCAGCAGUGGGGAAUCUUGCGCAAUGGGCGAAAGCCUGACGCAGCGACGCCGCGUGAGGGAUGACGG